GUGAAUCAUCAAAUUUUUGAACGCAAAUUGCACUCGUUGGUAUUCCGGAGAGUAUGCCUGUUUGAGGGUCAGGUUAAAUAAAAAUCGGUGUGGUUGCUGCCUUUCGUGGUGACGCACCGGAUUUGGGUCGUCGUGCCUUCGGUUAAGUGGCCUAAAAUUUGGCAUGAUUUUUUUCGAACGUAUUUAAAGGAUUUUACUGACGUUUGCGAUAUCGCAUGCUAGGUGUGGUCAUCCGC
rnacentral:misc_RNA from 1 species